GGGACUGUGGCGGAGAGGUUUAUCGCACGUCGGAUUAAGUUCCGGUCGAGUCAACGGUGCGAGAGUGGAGACUCGUAACGCAGGUUCGAAUCCUGCCGGUCCCA
rnacentral:tRNA from 2 species